rnacentral:rRNA from 1 species
GACGAACGCUGGCGGCGUGCUUAACACAUGCAAGUCGAGGGCAGGGAGCAAUCCCUGACCGGCGAACGGGUGCGUAACACGUGAGCGAUCUACCCUGGUGUGGGGGAUAGCCGGCCCAACGGCCGGGUAAUACCGCAUACGCUUGUCUGGCCGCAUGGUGGGGCAAGCAAAGCCUUCGGGCGCACUGGGAGGGGCUCGCGGCCUAUCAGCUAGUUGGCGGGGUAAUGGCCCACCAAGGCGACGACGGGUAGCUGGUCUGAGAGGAUGGCCAGCCACAUUGGGACUGAGAGACGGCCCAGAUUCCUACGGGAGGCAGCAGUGGGGAAUCUUGCGCAAUGGGCGAAAGCCUGACGCAGCGACGCCGCGUGCGGGAGGACGGCCUUCGGGUCGUAAACCGCUGUUGCCCGGGACGAAUGCUCCUUUCGAGGAGAGUGACGGUACCGGGUGAGGAAGCACCGGCUAACUCCGUGCCAGCAGCCGCGGUAAUACGGAGGGUGCGAGCGUUGUCCGGAAUCACUGGGCGUAAAGGGCGCGUAGGCGGCGCGAGGAGUCGGGGGUGAAAGUCCGGGGCUCAACCCCGGAUCGGCCUUCGAUACUCUCGCGCUCGAGCACAGUAGAGGCGGGUGGAAUUCCGGGUGUAGCGGUGGAAUGCGUAGAGAUCCGGAAGAACACCGGUGGCGAAGGCGGCCCGCUGGGCUGUGGCUGACGCUGAGGCGCGACAGCGUGGGGAGCAAACAGGAUUAGAUACCCUGGUAGUCCACGCCGUAAACGAUGGGCACUAGGGUGCCUGGGGGAGCGACCCCCUGGG